rnacentral:rRNA from 2 species
CAUUCACGGAGAGUUUGAUCCUGGCUCAGGACGAACGCUGGCGGCGUGCUUAACACAUGCAAGUCGAACGAUGAAGCCCUUC